rnacentral:rRNA from 1 species
UACGAAGGGGGGCGAGCGUUGUUCGGAUUUACUGGGCGUAAAGGGCGCGCAGGCGGCUCAUUUUGUCAGGCGUGAAAGCCCCGGGCUUAACCUGGGAACUGCGUUUGAUACGGAUGGGCUAGAGUUCGGGAGAGGAGCGUGGAAUUCCCAGUGUAGAGGUGAAAUUCGUAGAUAUUGGGAAGAACACCGGUGGCGAAGGCGGCUCACUGGCUCAUUUCUGACGCUCAGGCGCGACAGCGUGGGGAUCGAAACAGG